GCUGAACUUAAGCAUAUCAAUAAGCGGAGGAAAAGAAACUAACAAGGAUUCCCCUAGUAACUGCGAGUGAAGAGGGAAAAGCUCAAAUUUAAAAUCUGGCGGGCUCUGCUCGUCCGAGUUGUAAUCUGGAGAAGCGUUUUCCGCGUCGGACCGUGCAUAAGUCUCCUGGAACGGAGCGUCAUAGAGGGUGAGAAUCCCGUCCAUGGCACGGACCGCCGAUGCUUUGUGAUACGUUUUCAAAGAGUCGAGUUGUUUGGGAAUGCAGCUCAAAACGGGUGGUAAAUUCCAUCUAAAGCUAAAUAUUGGCGAGAGACCGAUAGCGAACAAGUACCGUGAGGGAAAGAUGAAAAGCACUUUGGAAAGAGAGUUAAACAGUACGUGAAAUUGUUGAAAGGGAAACGCUUGAAGUCAGUCGCGUCCGACGGAACUCAGCCUUGCUUCGGCCUGGUGUACUUUCUGUCGGACGGGUCAACAUCAGUUUUGACCGGUGGAAAAAGGCAGGGGGAAUGUAGCGUCGCUUCGGCGGCGUGUUAUAGCCCCUUGCUGCAUGCAUCGGUCGGGACUGAGGACCGCAGCACGCNUUUUUGGCCGGGGUUCGCCCCACGUACCGUGCUUAGGAUGUUGGCAUAAUGGCUUUAAGCGACCCGUCUUGAAACACGGACCAAGGAGUCCAACAUGCUUGCGAGUGUUCGGGUGGAAAACCCUUGCGCGCAAUGAAAGUAACAGUUGGGAACCUCCGCAAGGGGGUGCACCGACGCCCGGCCCUGAAGUUCUCUGACGGUGCUGCGGUAGAGCAAGUAUGCUGGGACCCGAAAGAUGGUGAACUAUGCCUGAAUAGGGCGAAGCCAGAGGAAACUCUGGUGGAGGCUCGUAGCGAUUCUGACGUGCAAAUCGAUCGUCAAAUUUGGGUAUAGGGGCGAAAGACUAAUCNAACCAUCUANUANCUGGUUCCUGCCGAAGUUUCCCUCAA
rnacentral:rRNA from 1 species